rnacentral:rRNA from 1 species
GUGGAUUAGAUACCCUGGUAGUCCACACCGUAAACGUUGGGCGCUAGGUGUGGGGUCCAUUCCACGGAUUCCGUGCCGCAGCUAACGCAUUAAGCGCCCCGCCUGGGGAGUACGGCCGCAAGGCUAAAACUCAAAGGAAUUGACGGGGGCCCGCACAAGCGGCGGAGCAUGCGGAUUAAUUCGAUGCAACGCGAAGAACCUUACCUGGGUUUGACAUAUGCCGGAAAGCUCCAGAGAUGGAGCCCCUUUUAGUCGGUAUACAGGUGGUGCACGGCUGUCGACAGCU